rnacentral:rRNA from 1 species
CUCAGUUCGGAUUGUAGGCUGCAACUCGCCUACAUGAAGCUGGAAUCGCUAGUAAUCGCGGAUCAGCAUGCCGCGGUGAAUACGUUCCCGGGCCUUGUACACACCGCCCGUCACACCACGAGAGUUUGUAACACCCGAAGUCGGUGAGGUAACCUUUUGGAGCCAGCCGCCUAAGGUGGGACAGAUGAUUGGGGUGAAGUCGUAACAAGGUAGCCGUAUCGGAAGGUGCGGCUGGAUCACCUCCUUUCUAAGGAA